rnacentral:rRNA from 1 species
GACGAACGCUGGCGGCGUGCUUAACACAUGCAAGUCGAACGGAAAGGCCCUGCUUUUGUGGGGUGCUCGAGUGGCGAACGGGUGAGUAACACGUGAGUAACCUGCCCUUGACUUUGGGAUAACUUCAGGAAACUGGGGCUAAUACCGGAUAGGAGCUCCUGCUGCAUGGUGGGGGUUGGAAAGUUUCGGCGGUUGGGGAUGGACUCGCGGCUUAUCAGCUUGUUGGUGGGGUAGUGGCUUACCAAGGCUUUGACGGGUAGCCGGCCUGAGAGGGUGACCGGCCACAUGGGGACUGAGGUACGGCCCAGACUCCUACGGGAGGCAGCAGUGGGGAAUAUUGCACAAUGGGCGGAAGCCUGAGGCAGCAACGCCGCGUGCGGGAUGACGGCCUUCGGGUUGUAAACCGCUUUCGCCUGUGACGAAGCGUGAGUGACGGUAAUGGGUAAAGAAGCACCGGCUAACUACGUG